GACGAAAUGAAUGAAUGCUGCAAAGCACUGACAUAGGUGCCGACAUAUAGUAAGCACUGGAUAAAGCUUGCUAAUUUCCCUGCUGACAUCUCAGACCUCUGUAUGAAGAAGUUGAUGUUACUCUGCCCACAGGGAAGGAAAGUCAAAUACACAAAGAAGGUCCCUUUAAAGAUAAAGCUGCUCAUUAAGCUCCAUAAGGCCCUGAGGGAUGAGACUGACCCUACCCUCAAG